rnacentral:tRNA from 1 species
GCCAGUUUUGCUCAGUGGAUAGAGAGCAUCAGCCUGUGGACUGAAGGGUCCCAGGUUCGAUUCCUGGUCAGGCC